rnacentral:sRNA from 1 species
AGAAACCCCGCAUUUUGUCGAUUUCCACUUAUUUGGUCCGUCUUCUAAUUGUUUGCAAGUU